rnacentral:rRNA from 1 species
AAGGAAUAUUGGUCAAUGGACGAAAGUCUGAACCAGCCAUGCCGCGUGAAGGAUGAAGGUCCUCUGGAUUGUAAACUUCUUUUAUCUGGGACGAAAAAAGGGAAUUCUUUCUCACUUGACGGUACCAGAGGAAUAAGCACCGGCUAACUCCGUGCCAGCAGCCGCGGUAAUACGGAGGGUGCAAGCGUUAUCCGGAUUCACUGGGUUUAAAGGGAGCGUAGGUGGGCAGGUAAGUCAGUGGUGAAAUCUUUGGGCUUAACCCGAAAACUGCCAUUGAUACUAUCUGUCUUGAAUGUUCUGGAGGUAAGCGGAAUAUGUCAUGUAGCGGUGAAAUGCUUAGAUAUGACAUAGAACACCCAUUGCGAAGGCAGCUUACUACGGAAAUAUUGACACUGAGGCUCGAAAGCGUGGGGAUCAAACAGGA